rnacentral:rRNA from 1 species
CCUACGGGUGGCAGCAGUGAGGAAUAUUGGUCAAUGGACGAGAGUCUGAACCAGCCAAGUAGCGUGAAGGAUGACUGCCCUAUGGGUUGUAAACUUCUUUUAUAAAGGAAUAAAAUGAGCCACGUGUGCCUUUUUGUAUGUACUUUAUGAAUAAGGAUCGGCUAACUCCGUGCCAGCAGCCGCGGUAAUACGGAGGAUCCGAGCGUUAUCCGGAUUUAUUGGGUUUAAAGGGAGCGUAGAUGGGUUGUUAAGUCAGUUGUGAAAGUUUGCGGCUCAACCGUAAAAUUGCAAUUGAUACUGGCAGUCUUGAGUACAGUUGAGGUAGGCGGAAUUCGUGGUGUAGCGGUGAAAUGCUUAGAUAUCACGAAGAACCCCGAUUGCGAAGGCAGCUUACUAAACUGUGACUGACAUUGAUGCUCGAAAGUGUGGGUAUCAAACAGGAUUAGAUACCCCAGUAGUC